rnacentral:rRNA from 1 species
CGGAUGAAGGGAGCUUGCUCCUGGAUUCAGCGGCGGACGGGUGAGUAAUGCCUAGGAAUCUGCCUGGUAGUGGGGGAUAACGUCCGGAAACGGGCGCUAAUACCGCAUACGUCCUGAGGGAGAAAGUGGGGGAUCUUCGGACCUCACGCUAUCAGAUGAGCCUAGGUCGGAUUAGCUAGUUGGUGGGGUAAAGGCCUACCAAGGCGACGAUCCGUAACUGGUCUGAGAGGAUGAUCAGUCACACUGGAACUGAGACACGGUCCAGACUCCUACGGGAGGCAGCAGUGGGGAAUAUUGGACAAUGGGCGAAAGCCUGAUCCAGCCAUGCCGCGUGUGUGAAGAAGGUCUUCGGAUUGUAAAGCACUUUAAGUUGGGAGGAAGGGCAGUAAGUUAAUACCUUGCUGUUUUGACGUUACCAACAGAAUAAGCACCGGCUAACUUCGUGCCAGCAGCCGCGGUAAUACGAAGGGGUGCAAGCGUUAAUCGGAAUUACUGGGCGUAAAGCGCGCGUAGGUGGUUCAGCAAGUUGGAUGUGAAAUCCCCGGGCUCAACCUGGGAACUGCAUCCAAAACUACUGAGCUAGAGUACGGUAGAGGGUGGUGGAAUUUCCUGUGUAGCGGUGAAAUGCGUAGAUAUAGGAAGGAACACCAGUGGCGAAGGCGACCACCUGGACUGAUACUGACACUGAGGUGCGAAAGCGUGGGGAGCAAACAGGAUAGAAUACCCUGGUAGUCCACGCCGUAAACGAUGUCGACUAGCCGUUGGGAUCCUUGAGAGGAUCUUAGUGGCGCACGUAA